UUCUUCCUUUUCUUUCUAUCUCUCUUUCUUCUCUUCGUCUCGUUCUUCUUCAGUGAGAGAUUUUUGAUAUGAGAGUGAGAAUUGAUUGAAGAGAAUUAGUGAUGGGGUUGUACAGAUGAAGAAGAAACUGAGGGUUGUUGUUUAAUCAUUGGUGUGUUGUUGUGUUGAUGAAGAUCGAGAAAGUUAGGGUUUCUUAGAGAAUUGAGUUGGGGUUCGAUUUGAGUGUCGACUAAGAGGAAUUAGACAUAAUUAUUAGAUGGGUGUGGUGUUUUAAUAAGUGAAUCGAAGUGUAGAACACAAAUUGAGAGAGAAAUGAUUCAAGGAUUAAACUAGGGUUUCACAUGAAAUUCAAAAAAGAAUCUGAAGUUGAAAUUGAGAGUUUAAGGGGAAUAUUCGAGAUGGGUUUUGAAUAAUUGAGUGGAUUAAAGUGAAUUUGCAUGUGAAGUCAAGUCUCAAAUGAUAAAAUUAUUGAUGAUGAUUGAGUUCAGGAUUUGAAGACGACAAUUCUAGGGUUUGAGUAAAAAUGAUUCGGGAGAAAAGCAAUUCAGGGGAUGCUAGUGAUUGGUUGCAGGUAUUCAAUUUGAAGUGGUGAUGUUGUUAGAGUCUGUUGAGCAUUACAGAAUGGAGAUGAGAUGAAGUGAAUAGAGUUAGAGCUACAGGCAGUUAUGGAAGAUGAUGAUGAUUAACUGAAUUGUUGAAUGUUGAAUGUUUUUUAUGAGAAUGAUUGCAGAUGGGUGCUAUUGCAUUUGCAGUUAGCUUAUAUUAACAACGAUGAAUUCAAAGGAUGAACCGGUGGAUCGUGGAUCUCGAGGUAGGCAUGGCUUGUCAUCAAAAGAGGUGGAAAUACAUUGGAUUAUCUUGUAACCAUUGUUGUUUUCUUUUACAAAGAUUUAUGU